AGUCAACGCUGGCGGCGUGCCUAACACAUGCAAGUCGAACGGGAAAGUGGAGCAAUCCAUGAGUAUAGUGGCGACCGGGUGAGUAACACGUGACUACCUACCCUCGAGUGGGGGAUAACCCCGGGAAACCGGGGCUAAUACCGCAUAACAUCGAGAGAUCAAAGGAGCAAUUCGCUUGAGGAGGGGGUCGCGGCUGAUUAGCUAGUUGGUAGGGUAACGGCCUACCAAGGCGAUGAUCGGUAUCCGGCCUGAGAGGGCGCACGGACACACUGGAACUGAAACACGGUCCAGACUCCUACGGGAGGCAGCAGUGGGGAAUUUUGCGCAAUGGGGGAAACCCUGACGCAGCAACGCCGCGUGGAGGAUGAAGUCCCUUGGGACGUAAACUCCUUUCGACCGGGAAGAUUAUGACGGUACCGGUGGAAGAAGCCCCGGCUAACUUCGUGCCAGCCGCCGCCGUAAGAC
rnacentral:rRNA from 1 species